rnacentral:rRNA from 1 species
GCCUCUUAGCGGGGGAUAACUAUUGGAAACGAUAGCUAAUACCGCAUAAAAGCCGACAUUGCAUGAUGUUGACUUGAAAGGUGCAAAUGCAUCACUAAGAGAUGGACCUGCGUUGUAUUAGCUAGUUGGUGAGGUAACGGCUCACCAAGGCGACGAUACAUAGCCGACCUGAGAGGGUGAUCGGCCACACUGGGACUGAGACACGGCCCAG